UACAGAGGGUGCGAGCGUUGUCCGGAAUCACUGGGCGUAAAGGGCGCGUAGGUGGCGACCCAAGUCGAUGGUGAAAGCUCGCCGCUCAACGGCGAGUCGGCCACCGAUACUGGGUUGCUGGAGCACUGUAGAGGCAGAUGGAAUUCCGGGUGUAGCGGUGGAAUGCGUAGAGAUCCGGAAGAACACCGGUGGCGAAGGCGGGUCUCUGGGCCGAUACUGACGCUGAGGAGCGAAAGCGUGGGGAGCGAACAGG
rnacentral:rRNA from 1 species